rnacentral:rRNA from 1 species
AUUAUCAGCUCUAACUCAACUUACACAUGCAAGUCUCCGCAGCCCAGUGAGUAUGCCCUCAAUCCCCCGCCCGGGGACGAGGAGCGGGUAUCAGGCACAAAUAUUAGCCCAAAACGCCUAGCCUAGCCACACCCCCAAGGGAAUUCAGCAGUGAUAAAUAUUAAGCCAUAAGUGAAAACUUGACUCAGUUAGUGUUAAGAGGGCCGGUAAAACUCGUGCCAGCCACCGCGGUUAGACGAGAGACCCCAGUUGAUAGUAUAACGGCGUAAAGGGUGGUUAAGGAUAAAUAAAAAUUAAAGCCAAAUGACCCCUUGGCCGUCAUACGCUUCUAGGCGUCCGAAGCCCUAACACGAAAGUAGCUUUAAACAAGUCAACCUGACCCCACGAAAGCUGAGAAACAAACUGGGAUUAGAUACCCCACUAUGCUCAGCCGUAAACUCAGACAUUCAACUACAAUUAAUUGUCCGCCAGGGUACUACAAGCAUUAGCUUAAAACCCAAAAGACCUGACGGUGUCUCAAACCCCU